AUACUAUUUUCUAAAAAGCCUCUAACGACAUCAGCUGCACGUCAAGCAGAACGAGGACUGGUGUUUGAAGAUCAAGCAAGACUGUCUAAAAUUGCGCUAUUUGAUCGAAAUGUUGCGCAUUCAAACCAAGAUCGUGGUAUGAUGUUUGAUAGGUUGAUAUCUACUGGACAAGUCGAUGACAGUACUGGCGAAGUGGUACCAGAGAAUGGACUUAUUGCCAAUAGUAGAUACGAUCCGAGGGAAGUACCAGAUAAAAAAUCACCACGAGCUGAAAGCAUUAUUAAAAGGCUAACAGUUUAUAGAAACAAAGGAGAAAAUAUUUGGUCAAAGGGAGGUAAAAUUGUCUACGAUCACGCAAGUAUUGCAGAUGCCCCAGUUGGUGUUGCUAUGACAAGAAGUGUAUUGGACACUGCACAAGAAGUACGAAACAGUGUC